UUUCACAUCCUGCCUGCCUAUAAGAAGAGUAAUAGUGCAUAUCCCUAUCCCUAUAUAAAAGGCAUGCUAAAAUGGGAGCACCUUUUUUCACGGCUGCUGAUUUUCCUCAUAACCAGAAACUAUUCACCUUUCAAACCAUGAAAAGAAUCCGUUUUAACAGUUUUCGGCUUCACGAAAAAUCCUUUGUUCAAAAAAUCUACAACCGAAACUCGCUUUAAAAACACCACGGAGCGUUUUAUUUUGACUGCAGUUAAAAAUGAGGUCAGUGUACGCCUCAGUUGUGAAAAAGUUUUCUUUUACAAUGCAUGUUUUUAUCUGAAAAUAUGCAUAUUUUAAAAAGCCAUUAUUUAUGUGACAUACAUCUGGAUGUUUACAUAUUCUUUUUUAAGAAUUAAAUAUACGAUAGCCGUUUAUUUCUGAAAGUCAUGAAUUAUUUGAACAUAAAAGAAGGUUAUCAUGGAAAACGAAAAAAGCAUGCUCUGAACAUUUUAAGCGUCAUCUGACAAAUCAAAUACGUCUGCAAAAUAGAUUUUGGUUUUAUCUAGAGAAUCUCGGGCGCUUCUGAGCCAAGUAUUAACUCGGUUAUUCCAACAAAUCCUUCAUUUUCAACCUCAUUGAAGGUCGAAUCCUUAUCAGACCAGGUUCAACUUCGACGCUAUAAAUGGAUGCCUCAAGUUUAGUCCACUGGUGGUACACAUUUAGUUUAUUUGCGAUGGGCGCCGAGCGUUUUAUCUCUUUUGUGAGCCGCCUCGAGUUACACGAACUUUAAUAACACGAUACGAGAACAAUCCACAUAUUUUAUCAUCGCUGAUGAUACCCCAACUCUUUCUUCUUUCACCUAUUAUACCGAUUUAUAAAUUAUUAACCAAUAAAUAACUAUUAUAACUAUAAAAAUUUGUUCAGUUGACAAUUAAUACUCUUGAAACCAUGAAUGAAACCAGAACCCAAUAGCAUAUUCCUUCAAUCCUCAAAUGUAUGUAAAACAAAGAGAACUAUUGCCAAUAUUCUUACCAACGUACGUCAUUUCCAUCGACUUAAAUUUAUAACCAAGUGUUUUAUUUUACAAUUUUCUAGCCUUGUACCAACGCAACACUGCUGUCUUUUAUUUAUAACCGUCAGACCUAAACCAUAACUUGAAGUGAAUUUGAAAUGCGGAACUCAAUUGCAAUCUGCUGCUAGCCGCAUUUAAGAUGACACUUAAAUCAUACUAGAAACUGGGCUUCAAGUAUUUCAUUCAGCUUCAUAGUUGUUUAUGCAACGAUCUACAGAAGUUGCGGGAACCUCGACAGGAGCCGUGGAUAUUGUAUUGGACCAAACCGAAGCCUAAAGUUGAAUCCAGUACACCAAGACGACAUCUAUACAAACUUUCCAGAAGUUUUGCACUACAUCCAACAAGCAACAGGCCAGAAUUAACCAAGUGUGAUCCGAAAAGAUCUUCUUGAAAACCUACAAUCAUCUUUUGUCAUCUCUUGAAGCUACAAGCUUUGUCGAACAUUUGCCUGUCCAAAAAUGAUUUCAAACUGCAACUUGCGGCACCAAAACUGCCUCAACAUUCUGCUUCUUUUCACAUCGGCUACGGGGAUUUCUCUGAGUGCCUUUUUGAAACGAGUGAGUGGAUUGGGAGGGUUUGAAGUUAAUUUUGCCCUCGUUCAAUUGCUACCUUUAACCCUGGCGUUGUUCACCCUUUAUCCAAGCGCCGACAAACCCAUCAUCAAAAACUCUCAGACCAAAAUUUCUACCACCAGAUACAAAAUAAUCUCCAAAAUAUACCCAGUUUUAAACGGCCUUGUAGUUCGAGGCGUGAAUACAAUUACAUAUUAUGAAGCACUUAAUAAUAUUCACUCGGGCGAUGUUCUUCUGAUAUCAACCUUUAUUAGUUUGCUGGGCUCAGUUUGCGCAGAAUUGUUGAUAUUCCAGAAAAAGCCGAAACUAUGUACAGUUAUUUCCGGUUCUGUUGGAAUUAUCGGGAUUGCUUUCAUCGCUCGUCCUGACUUUUUAUUCGGAAAUUCUUCAGCCUCGGGAAACAGAAUUUGGGGUAUUUUCAUGACUUUAGUCACUGGAAGCAGCAGUUUUCUUUACUACGCCACGGUUAAAAAGUGCUCGGAAGUUUCGAUAUUCUGGCAUUUCUUCUCGGCAGCUCUCGGGACUGCAGCUUCAUCAUCGAUUUUAUUCUACCUCAACUCGGAUUUUGUCGUGUCGCACUGCGAAGAGUCGUUGCGAUUUGUCGCGCUAGUUUCGGCUUUGCUUUGGGCAAUGAGUGCCAUGCUAACUUUGUUCACAGUCGGGAUGACUAUGCCCUCCAUAGUUUAUAUAUCCCGAUUCUGGACCAUACUUCUGUGCUAUAUUCUGGAGGUGCUGUUUCUACCCACUGAAGUCACGUGGACAAUGUUAACCGGGUCGGCUUUUGUGAUUGUCGCUCUGAUAUUGCAAAUGAGAACCAUGAGCAACACCAGAUGAUCCAGUUUUGAACUUUUGAAGCUGAUUUUCAAAAUAAGUUUCGAAGAUCUUUCGCUUUUGAUAAGCCAACAACAAACUUAAUGGAAACAAUCCAAGAAAAUCAUGAUCAUCUAGAAAAGCAAUUAGAGGUUUGUCCAAAUUGCGAAAUUCUCUUCGAAUCUGAAACACGUGUCAUAAUUUUGUAUUUUUUAGUUAAAGCCUAAAUUAAAAAACCAACUGUAUAAUUGAUAUUACUCAUUUU